GACGAACGCNGGCGGCGUGCCUAAUACAUGCAAGUCGAACGAGAGCGACCGGUGCUUGCACUGGUCAAUCUAGUGGCGAACGGGUGAGUAACACGUGGGUAACCUGCCCAUCAGAGGGGGAUAACAUUCGGAAACGGAUGCUAAAACCGCAUAGGUCCUUUAACCGCAUGGUUGAAGGAGGAAAAGAGGCGCAAGCUUCUGCUGAUGGAUGGACCCGCGGUGCAUUAGCUAGUUGGUGAGGUAACGGCUCACCAAGGCCGUGAUGCAUAGCCGACCUGAGAGGGUGAUCGGCCACAUUGGGACUGAGACACGGCCCAAACUCCUACGGGAGGCAGCAGUAGGGAAUCUUCCGCAAUGGACGCAAGUCUGACGGAGCAACGCCGCGUGAGUGAAGAAGGUUUUCGGAUCGUAAAACUCUGUUGUUAGAGAAGAACAAGUGCUAGAGUAACUGUUAGCGCCUUGACGGUAUCUAACCAGAAAGCCACGGCUAACUACGUGCCAGCAGCCGCGGUAAUACGUAGGUGGCAAGCGUUGUCCGGAUUUAUUGGGCGUAAAGCGAGCGCAGGCGGUUCCUUAAGUCUGAUGUGAAAGCCCCCGGCUCAACCGGGGAGGGUCAUUGGAAACUGGGGAACUUGAGUGCAGAAGAGGAGAGUGGAAUUCCAUGUGUAGCGGUGAAAUGCGUAGAUAUAUGGAGGAACACCAGUGGCGAAGGCGACUCUCUGGUCUGUAACUGACGCUGAGGCUCGAAAGCGUGGGUAGCAAACAGG
rnacentral:rRNA from 1 species